rnacentral:rRNA from 1 species
AUAGGCAAAUCCGUUUGAUUAAUCCUAGGAUACGGUGGGGAGCGAAACUAAGUAGCGAAGAAGCUGAUUUCCUCACUGUCGAGAAAAGUCUCUAUCGAGAUUAAAGGUACCCGUACCGCAAACCGACACAGGUGGGUGAGGAGAGUAUCCUAAGGCCAGCGAGAGAACUGUUGUUAAGGAACUCGGCAAAAUGACCCCGUAACUUAGGGAUAAGGGGUGCCCCAGAAAUGGGGCCGCAGAGAAUUGGCCCAAGCGACUGUUUACCAAAAACAUAGGUUUCUGCUAAGUCGCAAGACGAUGUAUAGGAGCUGACGCCUGCCCGGUGCUGGAAGGUUAAGGGGAUCUGUUAGAGCAAUCGAAGCAGUGAUCUUAAGCCCCAGUAAACGGCGGGCGUAACUAUAACGGUCCUAAGGUAGCGAAAUUCCUUGUCGGGUAAGUUCCGACCCGCACGAAAGGCGUAACGAUUUGGGCACUGUCUCAACAACAGACUCGGUGAAAUUGUAGUCCCGGUGAAGAUGCCGGGUACCUGCGACAGGACGGAAAGACCCCAUGGAGCUUUACUGUAGCUUGACAUUGGGUCUCGGUACUACAUGUACAGGAUAGGUGGGAGACUGAGAAAUCUGGGCGUCAGUUUAGAUGGAGUCAUCCUUGGGAUACCACCCUUGUAGUAUUGGGACUCUAACCAUAGGCCAUGAAUCUGGUCUUGGGACACUGUCUGGUGGGCAGUUUGACUGGGGCCGGUCGCCUCCCAAAAGGUAACGGAGGCGCUCAAAGGUUCCCUCAGUACGGUCGGAAAUCGUACGAAGAGUGUAAAGGCAAAAGGGAGCUUGAUUGCAAGACAUACAGGUCGAGCAAGGUAGAAAUACGGACUUAGUGAUCCGGUGGUUCUGCGUGGAAGUACCAUCGCUCAACGGAUAAAAGCUACCCUGGGGAUAACAGGCUUAUCUCCCCCAAGAGUCCACAUCGACGGGGAGGUUUGGCACCUCGAUGUCGGCUCAUCACAUCCUGGGGCUGUAGUUGGUCCCAAGGGUUGGGCUGUUCGCCCAUUAAAGUGGUACGCGAGCUGGGUUCAGAACGUCGUGAGACAGUUCGGUCCCUAUCCGUCGCAGGCGUAGGAAAUUUGAGGAGAUCUGUCCUUAGUACGAGAGGACCGGGAUGGACAUACCUCUGGUGUACCAGUUGUUCUGCCAAGGGCAUGGCUGGGUAGCUAUGUAUGGAAAGGAUAAGCGCUGAAAGCAUCUAAGCGCGAAGCCAACUUCAAGAUAAGAUUUCCCACCGCAAGGUUAAGAUCCCAGGAAGACUACCUGGUUGAUAGGUCAGAGGUGUAAGUGCAGCAAUGUAUGUAGCUUACUGAUACUAAUAGAUCGAGGACUUGACC